rnacentral:misc_RNA from 1 species
AAGUCGUAACAAGGUUUCCGUAGGUGAACCUGCGGAAGGAUCAUUAAAAAAUUUUGGCGGUUUCGGCCCCAAAGUAUACCCCGUCUACACGUAUUCUUGUAGCUCCCUCGGUGGUUCUCCACCGAAGGAUGCCUCUCAAAACCUAUGCAAUAGCCGUAACGUCAGUUAAUAUAAAUUAUUACAACUUUCAACAAUGGAUCUCUUGGUUCUG